UGCUACAAUGGCGUAAACAGAGGGAAGCGAAGCGGUGACGUGGAGCGAAUCCCAAAAAUAACGUCCCAGUUCGGAUUGUAGUCUGCAACCCGACUACAUGAAGCUGGAAUCGCUAGUAAUCGCGGAUCAGAAUGCCGCGGUGAAUACGUUCCCGGGUCUUGUACACACCGCCCGUCACACCAUGGGAGUCAGUAACGCCCGAAGCCGGUGACCUAACCGAAAGGGAGGAGCCGUCGAAGGUGGGACCGAUAACUGGGGUGAAGUCGUAACAAGGUACC
rnacentral:rRNA from 1 species